UCCUACGGGGGGCAGCAGUGGGGAAUAUUGGGCAAUGGGCGCAAGCCUUACCCAGCAAUACCGCGUGAGUGAAGAAGGUCUUCGGAUUGUAAAGCUCUUUGAUCAGGGACGAACAGAUGACGGUACCUGAAGAACAAGCCCCGGCUAACUACGUGCCAGCAGCCGCGGUAAAACGUAGGGUGCAAGCGUUGUCCGGAAUUACUGGGUGUAAAGGGAGCGCAGGCGGAUUGACAAGUUGGGAGUCAAAACUACGGGCUCAACCCGUAACCUGCUUUCAAAACUGUCAGUCUUGAGUGGUGUAGAGG
rnacentral:rRNA from 1 species